GUUAGGAAUAUUGGACAAUGGGCGAAAGCCUGAUCCAGCCAUGCCGCGUGUGUGAAGAAGGCCUUUUGGUUGUAAAGCACUUUAAGCGAGGAGGAGGCUCCUUUAGUUAAUACCUAAAGAGAGUGGACGUUACUCGCAGAAUAAGCACCGGCUAACUCUGUGCCAGCAGCCGCGGUAAUACAGAGGGUGCGAGCGUUAAUCGGAUUUACUGGGCGUAAAGCGUGCGUAGGCGGCUUUUUAAGUCGGAUGUGAAAUCCCUGAGCUUAACUUAGGAAUUGCAUUCGAUACUGGAAAGCUAGAGUAUGGGAGAGGAUGGUAGAAUUCCAGGUGUAGCGGUGAAAUGCGUAGAGAUCUGGAGGAAUACCGAUGGCGAAGGCAGCCAUCUGGCCUAAUACUGACGCUGAGGUACGAAAGCAUGGGGAGCAAACAGGAUUAGAUACCCGGGUAGUCC
rnacentral:rRNA from 1 species